rnacentral:rRNA from 1 species
UACGGAGGGGGCGAGCGUUAUUCGGAAUUAUUGGGCGUAAAGGGCGCGUAGGCGGCCUGAUAAGUCAAAGGUGAAAUCCCUCGGCUCAACUGAGGAAUUGCCUUUGAAACUGUCAGGCUUGAGGCCGGGAGGGGGUGGCGGAAUUCCCAGUGUAGCGGUGAAAUGCGUAGAUAUUGGGAGGAACACCAGUGGCGAAGGCGGCCACCUGGACCGGUUCUGACGCUGAGACACGAAAGCGUGGGUAGCAAACAGG